rnacentral:rRNA from 1 species
UCUACGGGAGGCAGCAGUCGAGAAUCAUUCACAAUGGGGGAAACCCUGAUGGUGCGACGCCGCGUGGGGGAAUGAAGGUCUUCGGAUUGUAAACCCCUGUCAUGUGGGAGCAAAUUAAAAAGAUAGUACCACAAGAGGAAGAGACGGCCAACUCGGUGCGAGCAGCCGCGGUAAUACAGGGGUCUCAAGCGUUGUUCGGAAUCACUGGGCGUAAAGAGUGCGUAGGCUGUUUCGUAAGUCGUGUGUGAAAGGCGCGGGCUCAACCCGCGGAUGGCACAUGAUACUGGGAGACUAGAGUAAUGGAGGGGGAACCGGAAUUCUCGGUGUAGCAGUGAAAUGCGUAGAUAUCGAGAGGAACACUCGUGGCGAAGGCGGGUUCCUGGACAUUAACUGACGCUGAGGCACGAAGGCCAGGGGAGCGAAAGGGAUUAGAUACCCUAGUAGUC